UACGUAGGGGGCUAGCGUUGUCCGGAAUCAUUGGGCGUAAAGCGCGUGUAGGCGGCCCGGUAAGUCCGCUGCGAAAGUCGGGGGCUCAACCCUCGAAUGCCGGUGGAUACUGUCGGGCUAGAGUACGGAAGAGGCGAGUGGAAUUCCUGGUGUAGCGGUGAAAUGCGCAGAUAUCAGGAGGAACACCAAUUGCGAAGGCAGCUCGCUGGGACGUUACUGACGCUGAGACGCGAAAGCGUGGGGAGCGAACAGG
rnacentral:rRNA from 1 species